rnacentral:sRNA from 1 species
AACUCGACUGGGUCGAGUGCACGGGUAACCGUGAGAUAGUCGCGAAUGGCGAUGGCGUGUCGGCCCUC